rnacentral:rRNA from 1 species
UACGUAGGGGGCGAGCGUUGUCCGGAGUUACUGGGCGUAAAGCGCACGCAGGCGGUCUGCUAAGUUUGGAGUGACAGUUGGUGGCUUAACUGCCAAAGUGCUUCGAAAACUGACAGACUUGAGGGCUUCAGAGGGACACGGAAUUCCGGGUGGAGUGGUGAAAUGCGUAGAGAUGCGGAGGAACACCAGCGGCGAAGGCGGCGACCUGGACGAGCACUGACACUCAACAACGAAAGCGUGGGGAGCAAACAGG